rnacentral:lncRNA from 1 species
CGUGAAUAAUGAGACAAACGAUUUUAUUUAAUGGUGAGACAACAAACACCUCCCAAUAAAAUGACUAAAAUACAUUUUACUAAUGGGUUUUCCUACCAGUGGUAUGCACCUAGGUCCACGAUUCUCAGUCAAGGCCGAAGCUGUUGUUUGCUCCUGGGUCAACGGUUCUCUCAGUCAAGGCCCAAGCCCACCAACCAAUCUGAAAAGAGUAGAGAAGCCCAAGGCCUUUUUAUAUACAUAUGUUUUAUUUCUUACAACAUUUCUACCAGUGUGGUAAUGCUGAACCAGCAGAGCAUUGAAUCACAGUUUAGCGGAUAGGCUGAUCUUAUUGGACGGCUGAGAUGAAUGCUGGGAGAUCUAAUGGCAGAGGACGAGUUGAUGAUUUGAUUCAAGUCAUGAGCUUAUAUAUAUAUUUGAUAGACUUAGCAAGACUCAUAACCAGAAACAUCAGCAGAGGUUGUGCAAAGUCGAGCAAUCUGUUGGUCAGAAACAAAUCCAACAAUCCGUUACUUACUUGCAACAUAUAAAAUGAAGAGAACAAGCAUCAACACGCAAUCACCAAAUGGUUGUAACUACCUUCCGGCGACAACCAACACUGAGAUACAGGUCAUCAAGUGUUCUGUUCCGAAACUGUUUGCAGAAGAACAAAAAAAUCCAACAAAUUCAAGGCCAAGAACAAGCAAAUUUCAUUUCGAACAGAGCAGAGUUGAAGCAAAAACAUUACAAUAUCAAUCACAUCUUUCCAGUUAUCCGAGGUAGAAGAAUCUCUAACAUCAUGAGCAUGUCUUCAACUAGUUGAAUAUGGACGGGGCUGUGUGUCGUCGAUGAACUUGCAGAAAGCCGAG